rnacentral:misc_RNA from 1 species
GAUGAAGAACGCAGUGAAAUGCGAUACUUGGUGUGAAUUGCAGAAUCCCGUGAACCAUCGAGUCUUUGAACGCAAGUUGCGCUCGAAGCCAUUAGGCCGAGGGCACGCCUGCCUGGGCGUCACACGUCGUUGCCCCCCCAUCUACUCCUUCGGGAUUGCGGGGGGCGGAUGAUGGCCUCCCGUGCGCCACGCCGCGCGGUUGGCAUAAAUGCCAAGUCCUCGGCGACGCACGCCACGACAAUCGGUGGUUGCGAAACCUCGGUUGCCCGUCGUGUGCGGUCGUCGCGCAUCGAGGGCUCGAAAAAAUUGCCGGGUUCCGGCUCGGCUUUCAACGCGACCCCAGGUCAGGCGGGGUUACCCGCUGAAUUUAAGCAUAUCAAUAAGCGGAGGA